rnacentral:rRNA from 1 species
AUUGAACGCUGGCGGCAUGCCUUACACAUGCAAGUCGAACGGUAACAGGUCUUCGGAUGCUGACGCUUGGCGAACGGGUGAGUAAUACAUCGGAACGUGCCCGAUCGUGGGGGAUAACGCAGCUAAAGCUGUGCUAAUACCGCAUACGAUCUACGGAUGAAAGCGGGGGAUGGCAAGACCUCGUGCGGACGGAGCGGCCGAUGGUCGCUUAGAUAGUUGGUGGGAUAAAAGUUUACCAAGCCGACGAUCUGUACCUGGUCUGAGAGGACGACCAGCCACACUAGGACUGAGACACGGACCAGACUCCUACGGGAGGCAGCAGUGGGGAAUUGUAGGCAAUGGGCGCAAGCCUGAUCCAGCCAUGCCGAGUGCAGGAUGAAGACGUUCGGGUUGUAAACUGCUUUUGUACGGAGCGAAAAAGCUCUCUCUAAGACAGAGGGUGAAUGACGGUACCGUAAGAAUAAGCACCGGCUAACUACGUG